GACGAACGCUGGCGGCGUGCUUAACACAUGCAAGUCGAACGGAAAGGCCCAGCUUGCUGGGUGCUCGAGUGGCGAACGGGUGAGUAACACGUGGGUGAUCUGCCCCUAACUUCGGGAUAAGCUUGGGAAACUGGGUCUAAUACCGGAUAGGACAAUCGUUUAGUGUCGGUUGUGGAAAGUUUUUUCGGUUAGGGAUGAGCCCGCGGCCUAUCAGCUUGUUGGUGGGGUAAUGGCCUACCAAGGCGUCGACGGGUAGCCGGCCUGAGAGGGUGGACGGCCACAGUGGGACUGAGAUACGGCCCAGACUCCUACGGGAGGCAGCAGUGGGGAAUAUUGCACAAUGGGCGCAAGCCUGAUGCAGCGACGCCGCGUGGGGGAUGACGGCCUUCGGGUUGUAAACCUCUUUCGACAGGGACGAAGCUUUGGUGACGGUACCUGUAUAAGAAGCGCCGGCUAACUACGUG
rnacentral:rRNA from 1 species